GAUGAGCGCUAGCGGCAGGCCUAACACAUGCAAGUCGAGGGGCAGCACAGGUAGCAAUACUGGGUGGCGACCGGCGGAUGGGUGCGUAACGCGUAUGCAACCUACCAUUGAUUGGGGCAUAGCCCGAAGAAAUUCGGAUUAAUACUCCAUAAUAUUCAUCAAAGGCAUCUUUUAUGAAUUAAAGCUUUUGCGAUCAAUGAUGGGCAUGCGUGACAUUAGUUAGUUGGUGAGGUAACGGCUCACCAAAACGAUGAUGUCUAGGGGUUCUGAGAGGAUUAUCCCCCCACACUGGUACUGAGACACGGACCAGACUCCUACGGGAGGCAGCAGUGAGGAAUAUUGGUCAAUGGGCGCAAGCCUGAACCAGCCAUCCCGCGUGCAGGAAGACGGCCCUAUGGGUUGUAAACUGCUUUUCCAGGGAGAGAAACUUACGCACGUGUUGCGUGACUGACGGUACCCUGGGAAUAAGCAUCGGCUAACUCCG
rnacentral:rRNA from 1 species